UGGGGAAUAUUGCGCAAUGGGCGAAAGCCUGACGCAGCGACGCCGCGUGAGGGAUGAAGGUUUUCGGAUCGUAAACCUCUGUCAGAAGGGAAGAAACCGCACUGUGCUAAUCAGCAGUGCCUUGACGGUACCUUCAAAGGAAGCACCGGCUAACUCCGUGCCAGCAGCCGCAGUAAUACGGAGGGUGCAAGCGUUAAUCGGAAUUACUGGGCGUAAAGCGCACGUAGGCUGCUUUGUAAGUCAGGGGUGAAAUCCCACGGCUCAACCGUGGAACUGCCUUUGAUACUGCUUAGCUUGAAGCCGGGAGAGGGUGGCGGAAUUCCAGGUGUAGGAGUGAAAUCCGUAGAUAUCUGGAGGAACAUCAGUGGCGAAGGCGGCCACCUGGACCGGUAUUGACGCUGAGGUGCGAAAGCGUGGGGAGCAAACAGG
rnacentral:rRNA from 1 species